UUUUUAAUCUGGGAUGCAAGAAUACUGGGUUUAAAACUCCCUAGCACAGAACCUGGCUGUACCACCCACCUCAGCCCAAGCAUAGCACAAUGACAUGUUCAGCUGGGAUACAAAAAACUUACAGACAGACAGAAACAGACACAGACAAGGGAGACAACCCUCUUCAAAGGAAGGUGAUUCCAAAAGCCAAAUGGGACCAGCUGCUCUGCUAGCUACAGAGACAACAGGUUGAGUCUGAACCUCCUUAAUGCAGUAUCUCUUCUUGCAGCACCAGCAUGUUUCCUCUCUGCCCCUGGUUCCCAUGGUGCCUCACAAAAAGCUAGUGGCUUUGAGUGAUCAAUCCCAACCUGCCACUGAAAGCAAAGACCUCUGAGAUUGAUACCCAGCCGUCCUUCCUGGGGAAACCAAAACAAGAAUACUGCCAGAAAAGACCCAACAGUCAAUACUGAAUGGACAAAAAGGGGAAUGCACCAUCUUGCAAGAGUUUAAGCCUUGCUCUCGUAAGUAAAAGGACCUGUUGCUUCAUUUGAAGUUCAGCUAAUGUCCUCCAUAAAGCAGGCAACCUUGCCUCUUCAGACUCCCUAACAGUUCAGGUACAGGGCUGACAGAGCCUCAGAUGUAACAGCAAAGAGGGACAACACCUCAGAACAACUAAGCUGUCACUGUCUCAAGAAGUUCUUCCAAACUGCCCAAGGGUGUUGUGAGGCUGUGACCAGCAGGGCCAGCUGUGCAUCACAGGUACAGCACAGCAACAGGCAGGCAGAUAAGGGAGCCAGUACUUCAGCAGUAUGCAGCCUCUUCAGGCACCACAAUGAAUAACUGGUAGUGAAUAUUAACCCAAGAAAUUCAAGUUCUGGCACCAAAGAAAUCUCAUCCUGGGCUACACAGAGCCAAUCAGCACCUCAUCUAUUUGACUUGCCUGCUCACAGCUCAGGAGGGGAAGGAAAGGGAGCAAACAAGGCUCACAGCCAUCCACACCUUAUGCAGUGCUGCAGUUUAUGGGCACCACUUCCCAACAUGUCAUGCUCCAGCUGGCUCAGAGUCAAACACUCUUAAGAUGGAGCCCUGCAAGCUAGGACCUGCUGCAUCUGCGGGCAGCUGCUGGAUACCAGGUGAGCCCUCGGCUGGACGAGGGCUGGGGCCCCUCCAUCUGAGAUGGUGUAUGUGGGACUGACAAUGAGACCAACAGGCCGAGACACGUAAAGAGGAAAAAGGAAAAACACACAAACGAAAAGACGCAACUGCAAAAAUCCAGCUUUGGCUGAGAGAGGCCUGAGAGGUCUGCAGUUGAGGGCAGGAAGACUUCCCUACAAGCACCCAAAAUGUCAACCACCCUGCUGUACACAAGACAAGAAGUCUCAGAGCUAUCAAUCAGGUGCUGCAGAGCCCAGUACCAGACUUUCCUCAGUGACAACAACAUAUGCAUCAUUCAUAGCUGUCCUAUUUGGAGUAAGUGCCAAAUUCUUAUUCCCCUUGCAAGACCCUACACUCAGCAACUGACCUGCAGCCCUUCAAAGUGCAGGACCUGUGUCCACUCAGAUCACACUCUCUCCCCACUUCAACAAGCAGGGCCACACAACUCCCUUUUACAUACCUGAGUCGAUGGCUACCACAGGGCCUGGAACAAGCCGACUUCACUCGCUUUGUGUGUUGGACAGUGGCGUUUUACAUGGUAAGAGUCUAAACAGAGCCUUGAGAAUUCUCUCCAAUUCUUAUCUAGCUGCCUCUUUUGACACCCAGAGUUCCCCGAGAGGAAGGCAAGUGGGAGGUGUCUGCACCAAGCACAGAGCAGUCCCAAGCCAUAACAGGCUUUACACUUCACAGGUACAUUUGCAAGCCAUCCUUCACUCUGCUAUAAACACGAGCUCACAAAAGUUUCUCACACCUUUCCACAAACACAAAACUUCCUAGGACUAACCUGUAAAUCUCUCUUAUCAGAAUGCUGGGAACUUCCCCUUGCUGCAGUCAUUCCUUCAAAGUCCCUUUUCCUAAGAAGACUCAAGUAGAUGCAGAGAUCUCUAAUAUUUUAGAAAAAUUACAUCCAUAAUAGUGAACACACAUUUCACUGUAUUCCUAAGCAAACAGAUAGGUCUGAUUUGCUGGGAAGACAUUUCUCUCUUUCAAAAUGAAAAGCCAGAAGAAGGUUUGUAAAUGGGCCGCUAUCAAACAGGUGAUCUAGGGGACUCUUCUGUCAAUUUCUGCCAGGCUAAGGACAGGAGAUGUGCAUGAAGAUAUGCCCAGAUGAAAUCACAAUCAUUUCUCUAGUUCAUAAGGAUAUGAGCACUUACCAGCCUGGGCUUAAAUUCAAAGCCUCAUGAAGUCAGGACACUCACUCAGAUGACCUGAAGAAGAGAAACCAAUAGCUUAGCAUCCACCAAAACAGCCAGCUUGAAAUCUCAUCCCAUAAAUAUGUAAUGCAUAGGGAAUAUUUAUAGCCAAGCACAACUGGGAUGGCCACCUCAUUCCAGAUACGUGCCUCAACCCACAUCAGAUCUUCUGAAAGUAAAGAAAAUGAACUUACAAAUACCUGGCCACACAGCCCAGCAAGAGCCAGAAAGGCACAUGGCAAGGAAAUAUUCAAGGCACUCAGGCAACUGGAAUCACAUAAACUCAAAAUUCAUGAAGCAAUGGCUUCAAAGCAACGUUGGUUCCAGAAAGGACUAAACAAACCUCCUUUAGAAUGGGACCCUCCCAGCUAAUCUUCCCUGCCACUGCAGAGAGAUGCUAACUGUGAAGCCUUCAGUACAGAAGUUUGGUGAUGCUAACAAUUAUCUCACUCACCCUUUCAAGUCAGUGUUUUUCACCCACAAAUGAGCUGGCAAUUAUCAGGCUUUUGUUUGAGCCAAAACAUUUGUGCCUAGAGCUGUGAUAACCCACAUCUCCACAAGGGAGGAGGGCAAGCUACUCUCUGAUUGCCAUCAAGCAAUAUAUCAUACUCUACCUUGCUGUUAACAGACUUCUGUAAAAUAUCCAGCCAACCAUGGAUACGAAACAGGAACAGACACAACCUUCCUCUCUGGUCAAAGCCUGGGGUAUUUAACUGAGGUUUUGUCUGGGAUAGAGUUAAUUUUCUUCCUAACAGCUAACAAGUGCUGUGCUUUGGAUUUCGGAUGAGAAUAAUGUUGAUAUCACACUGAUGUUUUAGAUGUUGCUAAGCAGUGUUUGCAUUAAAGCAAAGAUUCUUCAGCUUCUCACCCUAUCAGUGAGUAGGAUGAGGGGCACAAGAAGCUGAGAGGUGACAUGUCAGGACAGCUGACCCCCACUGUCCAAAGGGAUGUCCCAUAGCAUAUGGUAUUAUGGUCAGUACACAAACUAUGGGGAAAGGUGGCCAUGCACCACCGCUCAGGAACUGGCUGGGCAUUGGUCAGCAGGUGGUGAGCAAUUGCACUGUGCAUCCCUUGUUUUGUAUAUUCUACUUAUUUUAUUAUGAUCCCUUCCUUUUCUGUCCCAUUUUGCUGUCAGUAUCUCAACCAACAAAAUUUUACUUCUUUCCAAAAUCUCUCCCCAUUCCACUGAGGGGUAAGAAGUGAGCCAACAGCUUUGUGAUGCUUAGUUACCAGUGGAAAUCAAACCACAACAGGUACCCAUCACUACAAGAAAAGAGUUGGGUUAAUCUGGGUUAGUCAGCUAAGAGAGUAGCUUUGUAGCCAUCACUCUGCCACUGGCAUGAGAGUAAAGACUUCAGUAAAGCCUUCCUUUCCCUGAAGCACUGUUGCUGCUGUGCUACUUUUUCCAUGUCAGUGGCAUGAAGCCCUGGGAGGUGGGACAGGAGGCAGGGUGUGGAGCAGCUAUACACAUGCAGGGAGAGUCAGACUGAAGGUGAAAGGAACAAGCAGGCAACCAGGACCAUGCAAAAUCAAGUUCUGCCAAAACAAAUUGAAGUUCUGGCCCUGCCCCAACAAGCUGUCUGGCCACUUUCCUCGCUACAAUGCUGGAGUCGGGUUUCAACUAGCACACAGAAAAACAGCUUCACAGCAGUGGAACUGCUCUGUGGGGCAAACUGCAAAUUAUGACAGGAGAAAGAAAGGGAGAAAAUGCACCUCCAGGAAGGAUCAGACCAGCAUAGCUUGAAUCUGCUUUCCAUCAACUCCCAGCAGAAGCUGGUUCAGCAUCACGGCGUAACCACCAGCCACAUGGCAGGCAGACAGACAGAGGUUUCCAGGAACAGCUGCACCCAUGGGUCCAUGCAUGUUUCCACUGCAGCUGUGCUCAGAACAAACAUGCCAAAGGCAUCCCUGUCUCCCAGCACACUGUUCCUCAGGCUCAAACAGAACUAUCCUGCUUCCUACCCUAGAGGCAGUAACUAUGCUACCUGCCAUCUCAUCCCCACUUACCUGGAAAAGAUACAGGAUUUGAAAUCUACCCUCAUGAUCUGAGAAUUUCCAUAGAUAGUUAAAAACUCACAGAGCUGCCAGGCAACUUUCCCUCAAACAAGGACUUACAGAUCCAAAGUGACGACGUGUCCAAACAUUUCUGGUCGUUUGUCUCCGAAUCAGCUUUCUCCUGUAAGUAUUCAGCAGCAUCUGGCCAACAGCUCCUGAAACAUGAGAAAGGAAACUUGGUGUCAGUCACCUAUCAGCACAAAACAUGGAAACAACCAGGCAUGCUCAGAGCAACCCAUAGCCAGGUGACAGGGCAGAAGUCAACAGCAAACUGCUGCACCAUCAGACCACUAUCUAAUGCCAGGUAGAAUGCCUUCACUGUAAAAGCUCCAAGUCUUCACUGCAUCCCAGAAAGCACAGGUAUUUUAACCAUCUCUUCACCAAGCAGGAUGCCUGUGCAGACCAGUAACUGACCAUGGAAAGGCAGCUGGUUUUUCUACAUAGCUCCAGGGGUCCCUGCUUCCCCACCUGCAUUCCUGUCCACCAUCCAGAAUCCAAUUGCUGUCAUUCUGCUCCAACCACUCUUCCACACAAACCUAAUUUUGUUUUGCAGACAUCCCUGCAGUGAACAGCACAGCAAAGGCCUCCUCAUCUACAAUAACUGCGCAUCUCUUGCGGCCACAGAGUGAGAAUCCUGAGGUGGCUCGAUUCACCACACCUCUGUUCAGAGAGGAGCAGAUACUCUCUGCAGAACAGAUGGACCUUCUGCUCCAAAGCAGAACUGGAUAUAGGUAAUAUCCAGAAAUAGAAGAAGGCACUAAUUCUGCUCAUCACACUAUUCACAAGUCUCUCUCUGAAGGAGCUUGCUGUCAAGUCCACAUUAAGACUACCCUGCAGAAGCUCAAUUUUAGCCUGGAGCUACAGCAGAAGGCAGCUCUUCAGCUAUUUCAAUUAGCACUGUAAUACAAGAGGAAACUAAAACUCCUAGUUCUUUUUAUCCAUCCUUUCCACCUCUCAUCAGUAAUGCUCCUUAGCAUUUACAGUCAUCUUUCUACCAGUCUAUCACCUGCAGUAGCAAGUCUAUUGUCUUCUAGCUAUUACCCACUGUUGUUCCAGUAGGAUUUCUUAGGUCACUGACAGCUUCACUGGAAUGGCUUACUAAGGGCCACGAGGCUCACACUGACAAAACACACAAACUCUUUCUUCACAGGGACACCAUGUCCUGGUUACAGAUGAGACAGAGUUAAUUUUCUUUCUGGUAACUGGUACAGUUAUGUGGUUUGGAUUUGGGAUGAGAAUGAUGUUGGUAACACUCUGAUGGUUUAGCUGUUACUAUGCAGUGCUUACUCUAACUCAAGGAAUUUUCAAUUUCUUGUGCCAGUGACAAGGUGCAUGAGAAGCUGGGAGAAAGCAUAGUCAGGACAGCUGACCAAGCUCAGAGGGAGCACAGUCAGGACAGCUGACUCAAAACAAGCAACAGAAUAUUCCAUACUUAAUGGCACCAUGCUCAGUACAUAAACUGGGGGGAGUUGCUGGGAAGGGCCAACUGCUGCUUGGGUAGAGGCUGGGCAUUGCUCAGUGGGUGGUGACCAACUGCACUGUGCAUCCUUUGUUUUUCUUGGGUUUUAUUCCCCUCUCCUUCUCUCCAUUACAAUUGUUAUUAUAUUUUACUUUAUUUAAAUUAUUAAACAGCUCUAAUCCCAACCCACAAGUUUUACUUUUUUCCAGUUCUAUCCCCAUCCCCCUGGGAGCAGAGGGGAGAAUGACCAAGUGCCUGUGUGGUGCUUGGCUGCCAGCUGGGAUUAACCACAACACUGUGACAGGGUGCAGCUGCACAGGCAGCACACAGGCUUGACCCUAGCUGACUUUGCCAGAGAGCACCCCUCAGUGUAAAAUCCACUUGCAGGGUAGUUCUGUUCUCUGUGUGAUCUGAGAAAGCCAAAACCUUUACCACACACCACAAAUAGAUGUCAUCUCACACUGAAUUGCUUAAGACAGUUCUGUGGGCCCUCUACAGAAUAAACAGCCACUUGGCAUGCAUACAAAACCACAUCACCACCCAUGAGCAUUGCUUUAUCUCCAGUAACAAGAAAGAGGUCCCUAGCAGAGAAAGGAAGGUUCAAACAGGAAUGCUUUGGACAAAAAGGGAAAGAACAGAAGAAAUAAAAAAGGCAACAUUUAUAGGCACCUAGUGUCUUCCUCAUAUUUGGCAAGUCCCUUGAGGCCUGAGGUAGCCAACACUUGGGUUCUAAGAUGCACACAACUUCUGCCUGCUUGUAGUUGCAGCAGCUGAACACUCCCUGCAAAGAGGCAGAGGACUUGCAGGCAUUUCCUCAUCAUCAUCUUCUCCUGUGUUGCCUUUUCUGACCUUAUAAAACAGCCUUCUUACCACUGCUGAGGGCCAGCAGGGUCCCUUCCUCAAGGGAAAUACAGUGAUUAUGAUGCAGAUACAGUUUCUUAUUUCAGGUACUGUAUCACCUUUCCAGCUUUUUCCUCUUAACAGCAGCAUUUCUUUAGCACUGCUGUUUAUUCAGAAAGAUAAAAUUGUAUUAAUGAAAAAAUACAUUCCAUAACACAAUCACAGUCACAUUUGUUUCUAAUGCAACACUACAGAAAGAUUUUUUUUGUGGCUAACAGCGUCAGCACACUCCAAAAACUUGCAGAUACAAUACCUACAAGUAACAAAACCAAAUGUCCUGUGACAUAGAUCUGAUCACCACAGUUAAUCUGGAAUAUUGCUCUAUGUGGGCCAACCUAUAUUUUGCAUGCAUAUCCAAUACAGGAUAUUGGCACAUCCUGCUUUAGGAGGUAUCAAUAUUUCCUAACUUCAUGAAAAGCAAACACAAGAGUUUUGUCUAGUUGCCUUCCUGUGCUUAUGGAUAGAGGAAACCUUAGAUUUCAGAAGUCCCAAGACAGACUACCUGAGAAGCUGCUCCAGAAAGCCUGACCAAGACAACUAACCAGGGAGAUGGACAAUGCAAUAACUGCACCAAGGGAUGCUUGUCCAGGACACAAAAACAAGCUGUGUGAAAUUAAAAACAGCACCUGUAGACUGCUGGUGCCAAGCACAAUAGAAAAGGACUGCAAGGUUAUUAAAGGGCCCUUUAACAUUUAAUGAGAGAGAUCUUUUCAUUCAGAGAAGGCAUCUCAAAAGAAUGCUCAGAUCCAUUCUACUGCUGGCUAUGUUGAAGCUCAUUUUUAAAAUAAAAGGAUGACAGCUCCAAUGCAGACUCACAUCUCAGUACUGCUUGUAUGUUAAUGCUCACGAUUCACAUCUGAGUAAUAGCAUUAUAGGGACUCUUGGAUUAAAAUAGAAUUUCAGGAGGAUUAUUGCUCAUUCCUGCUUUUCCAUACCAAUUAACCUUGACUUAGGCAGAAACCUCAGUUCCCUGCAUGGGAACAAUUCCAAGAGCUGUCAAGAAAAAGGGAUCAGGCUAGCUGUUGAACAACAGUCCAUGUAACAAGCCCUACUUAACACCUAACACAUUUCCAAAGAAAAUGAAACCCCUGGACUCCAGUCAUACAUAGUUCCUGUUGAAUGGAAAUACCACAGGACAUAUCAUGUAUCAGUCACAUCCACUGCACCAUGCAGAAUUCUCUUAAAAAUAUCAGAAUCACACUUUUCUUACAGUCCUGCUCUCUCCUUCCACAAUACAAAGAUCUCAGUCCCAUAAUUCAGUUGCACUCCACGCCCUUAAAUGUGCAUUUUAUUAUCUACUCUCUGCUGUGUCAAGAGUAGCUUAGCUUCCCUAAUUCUUUUAUAGAAGCCAGGACUGGUCAACAUUGACCAAGAAAUGCUAGCAUCACUAACAUGUAACUGGAAUAGAAUGCAACAGCUGAUUAACAUCUGAACAGGAACAGGACAGGAAGCAAAGGACCAGAAUUCAAUCCCCAGAAGGAAUGUUAAUGGAGAAUAAAAAUACCCAGGGGAGCUUUUGACCAGGAAAUGAGCACCAGCUUUUUAAUACAUACAAAGCAUAGAACCACCAUUAAUGGCUACACCUGAAAUGGCACAAGAGCCAGCUCAGCAAAAGGUCAUUUACCAAACCACCUUUAGCACAGACUACAUCAAGGGCUAAUGACAGCUUCUCAUUCAGAACUGCUGACACACCAGAAGCGUGUUUAGUUUGUUCAGUGAUCCUUCCAACUCUCACAAGGUAGUUUAGGCUACAAACUUUCAAAGUCUCUUCAUCUCAGCACGCUGGGUUUCAUGUCCUUCCUCACUCUGUCUUCUUACCUGUUCUUUUAAGAUCUCCCAUGAGAAGACUUCUGGAAUAUAUUGCUCAGAAAUUUAAAGAAAUACCAGAACAUUAGAUAAAAACUCAUGGAGAUUAGGAGAACUCUCAAAGUUUCUGAAAGUGUCUGGACCCAGCUGGAAAAAGCAAAUCUUGAUACUCUAACAACAUGUAUCUGGAUAAAGCUGAUACUUCACGUGAAAGAAAUUUGGGAGUUAAGGCCUUAAACUUUCUCCAACACAAGCAAGGGAAUGGCUACCACAAGCAACCAUUUGAAGAGAAGUGGAAGAGGGAGAUUUCUGUAGAAAAUCAUCAUGCAGGAAUUCCUUUCCCAGAUCUCUGUCAUAUCCUGUGCUGUGUAGGAGGGGAAGAAGUGGGGGAAAAUCAUACAUUACCUCCCUAGAGCAUACAAUCAAAAGGCAUUUAAUUAGGACAAGGUGGAAGCAGCUUAAAUUUUUCAAGGGCAGACUACUGAAGGGCAGACUCUCAGCCCCUGUAAGUAUUCCCUGAGUCUCACACAACCCCCAGCAAUUAAUAUCAGCAGUCCUCUUGUUUCAAGCUUUGGUUCAGAAGUUCUGGGCAAACAGCAAACUCCAUCUCUUCAGUGCCAGGAACUGAAUGUCACUGAGCUGCCCCUCUAGCACAGACACAGCAAUGUCACAGAAUGCUCCAUUGCUGGAGCAUUCAACGAUACACUUGCCACAAUCCACUCCCCAAAACAUGCCCUCUGUCCGAGACUCUCAGUGAUGCACAGAUGGCUGACACACUAUGCACUAUCUACACAGUGGGACAAUGGAGCAGAGGACAUUAUUUGCAUUAUUUACAGGGGACAGAUGGACAAGUUGCUACAGUGACCUAGCCUACAGAGCAUCUGCAAUGCUGAGGAGGCGCUAAGCCCAGCUCUAAUGCUUGCAGGUGCUAACAAAAACAAAUUCAAAAAAUAAAACAGCUCUUUACAGCAGUCAGCUUUAUUCUGAAACGUUAUCACUACAACCACGCUUGCAGAGUAAUUCACAUGCCAGUUUUGUUCCCACAGAGCCUUUACCAGCAAGCAGAACAUAAGAUGUAUUGACUAGAUUUAUCCUUUUCAACCAGAAAGAGAACUGGCAUCUGCAGUACUUACUUAUUCCUUGGCCAUAAAUUCUGUAUGUGUGUAAGUCACCACAUAUAGCAGGUGGCACAUACUGUUGGGAGACACAUCCCAGGAAGGAAACAGUAUCAAAAUUGGGUGACAUUUAUUUCAAGCUAUGUACGAAGAAAAGUAACAAAAUUCAGCUCAAACCUGCGCAGCCAUCUGAUUUUUUUCAAACAUUAAACAUUUGUGCCAGGUUUUAA